rnacentral:rRNA from 1 species
ACUCAAAGGAAUUGACGGGGGCCCGCACAAGCGGUGGAUCAUGUGGUUUAAUUCGAAGCAACGCGAAGAACCUUACCUGGAUUUGACAUCCUUUGAAUACAGUAGAGAUAUUGUAGGCUCGCAAGAGACAAAGAGACAGGUGCUGCAUGGCUGUCGUCAGCUCGUGUUGUGAAAUGUUGGGUUAAGUCCCGCAACGAGCGCAACCCCUGUGCUUGGUUGCCAUCAUUAAGUUGGGCACUCCAAGCAGACUGCCGUCGUCAAGACGGAGGAAGGUGGGGAUGACGUCAAGUCCUCAUGGCCUUUAUAUCCAGGGCGACACACGUGAUACAAUGGUAGAUACAGAGGGCAGCGAAGUAGCGAUACGAAGCCAAUCCCAAAAAGUCUAUCUCAGUUCGGAUUGGAGUCUGCAACUCGACUCCAUGAAGUUGGAAUCGCUAGUAAUCGCGGAUCAGCACGCCGCGGUGAAUACGUUCCCGGGCCUUGUACACACCGCCCGU